rnacentral:rRNA from 1 species
ACGCACGCUGGCGGCAUGCCUAACACAUGCAAGUCGAACGAGACCUUCGGGUCUAGUGGCGCACGGGUGCGUAACGCGUGGGAACCUGCCCUUAGGUUCGGAAUAACUCCCCGCAAGGGGUGCUAAUACCGGAUAAUGUCUUCGGACCAAAGAUUUAUCGCCUUUGGAUGGGCCCGCGUUGGAUUAGCUAGUUGGUAGGGUAAAAGCCUACCAAGGCGACGAUCCAUAGCUGGCCUGAGAGGAUGAUCAGCCACACUGGGACUGAGACACGGCCCAGACUCCUACGGGAGGCAGCAGUGGGGAAUAUUGGACAAUGGGCGAAAGCCUGAUCCAGCAAUGCCGCGUGAGUGAUGAAGGCCUUAGGGUUGUAAAGCUCUUUUACCCGGGAUGAUAAUGACAGUACCGGGAGAAUAAGCUCCGGCUAACUCCGUG